rnacentral:rRNA from 1 species
UACGUAGGGGGCAAGCGUUGUUCGGAAUUACUGGGCGUAAAGGGCGCGUAGGCGGCCUUCUAAGUCAGACGUGAAAUCCCCAGGCUUAACUUGGGAACUGCGUCUGAUACUGGAAGGCUUGAGUGCGGGAGAGGGAUGUGGAAUUCCUGGUGUAGCGGUGAAAUGCGCAGAUAUCAGGAGGAACACCGGUGGCGAAGGCGGAUCACUGGACUGCCACUGACGCUGAGGCGCGAAAGCUAGGGGAGCGAACGGG